UACGGAGGGGGGCGAGCGUUGUCCGAAGUUACUGGGCGUAAAGCGCGCGUAGGCGGGUGGGUAAGUCCGCUGUGAAAGCCCGGAGCUCAACUCCGGAGGGUCGGUGGAUACUGCCCAUCUUGAAGGUGCUAGGGGGAGAUGGAAUUACCGGUGUAGCGGUGAAAUGCGUAGAGAUCGGUAGGAACACCAGUGGCGAAGGCGGUCUCCUGGAGCAUACUUGACGCUGAGGCGCGAAAGCUGGGGGAGCGAACGGG
rnacentral:rRNA from 1 species